rnacentral:misc_RNA from 1 species
GAUGAAGAACGUAGCGAAAUGCGAUAAGUAAUGUGAAUUGCAGAAUCCAGUGAAUCAUCGAAUCUUUGAACGCACAUUGCGCCCGCCAGCACUCUGGCGGGCAUGCCUGUUCGAGCGUCAUUUCAACCCUCGACCUCCCCUUGGGGAGGUCGGCGUUGGGGACCGGCAGCACACCGCCGGCCCUGAAAUGGAGUGGCGGCCCGUCUGCGGCGACCUCUGCGUAGUAAUACAGCUCGCACCGGAACCCCGACGCGGCCACGCCGUAAAACACCCAACUUCUGAACGUUGACCUCGAAUCAGGUAGGACUACCCGCUGAACUUAAGCAUAUCAAUAAGCGGAGGA